GGGGAGGGGUGCUGUCAGAGCCGGGGAUAGACCGACGACGGGUGGAACUGGCGGCUUGGAAACUCUUAGCCAAUCAGGGCCUUUCCCGCCUUUUCCGGCCUCGGCUGGCUGAGCCCCGCCCCCUCCACUGGGACGCUCGAGACCCCGCGGGCUUUCCGGCGCACGGAGUGGGCAGAGGCUGGAGCCCGUGGCCUCGCUGAGUGUCUUGAUGCAGUCUCAGGAUGUGGACCUCUCCUUCCCACAGCAACCAGAGAGAUCCAGUCUCUUCAGUGGUACAAAGAGGGGGACACUGUUUCUCACUUCAUACCGGGUGAUCUUCGUGACUUCACACUUAGUCAGUGAUCCCAUGUUUUCUUUCAUGAUGCCAUUUGAUCUGAUGAGUAACUGCACCGUUGAACAACCGGUCUUUGCUGCCAACUACAUUAAAGGGACUAUUCAGGCAGCUCCGGAUGGUGGCUGGGAAGGACAGGCUACUUUUAAAUUAGCCUUCAGAAAAGGAGGUGCCAUCGAAUUUGCCCAGCUGAUGGUGAAAGCUGCCUCUGCUGCUGCCAGAGGAGUUCCACUUGGAAGUGCAAGUUACUGGUUCAGCCCUCCAGGACUGCUUGUAGUUACUGGGCAGGGGAACAUGAUGUGCACGCAACAGAUGCCUUGUCCAGCAUACCCAUUUGUUGUCUAUGGAUCCCCACAGGCAGGAUAUGGACCCCCACAGGCAGGAUAUGGACCCCCACAGGCUGGAUAUGGACCCCCACAGGUGGAAUAUGGACACCUGCCAUGGGGAUACGGACCCCCACCAGCAGGAUACGGACCCCCACCUGUGGGAUCUGGAGCCCCACCAGGAGCAUACAGAGCCCUGCCUGUGGGAUACGGAGCCCUCCCAGCUGGAAACGAAACCUUACCGACUGGAAGUGAAAACCCAGGGGCUGGAAAUCAAGCCCCACCUCCAGGAUAUGAAGUUUCACCUGCUGGAAUUAGAGCUGGGUCUGGCAAAUCUGUGGCAAUCCAACCUCCUGGGUAUGAGGCUUCUCUUCCCCCUGCCUCAUCUUCUCAGAGCCAUUCACCAUCUUCCAGGAAUUAAACCUUGAAGACUCGCCAAGCAAAGUGGCACCCGAAAACCGAAGUCAGAAUAGGAAGGUAGACUCAGGUGCCAUGCAGUCGGAAGCGUUUCCUGUGCAUGUGGUGGCCUGAUCCUGUCUGCACAUCUGUGAGGUCCUGGGAAAUGAUAUGGGAAAGGGAGAGGCUGUCUCCAUUCCUGGAGCCA